rnacentral:rRNA from 1 species
GCAGUCGAGCGGACCGAAGGGAGCUUGCUCCUUUAGGUUAGCGGCGGACGGGUGAGUAACACGUGGGUAACCUACCUAUAAGACUGGGAUAACUUCGGGAAACCGGAGCUAAUACCGGAUAACAUUUGGAACCGCAUGGUUCUAAAGUGAAAGAUGGUUUUGCUAUCACUUAUAGAUGGACCCGCGCCGUAUUAGCUAGUUGGUAAGGUAACGGCUUACCAAGGCAACGAUACGUAGCCGACCUGAGAGGGUGAUCGGCCACACUGGAACUGAGACACGGUCCAGACUCCUACGGGAGGCAGCAGUGGGGAAUAUUGGACAAUGGGCGAAAGCCUGAUCCAGCCAUGCCGCGUGUGUGAAGAAGGUCUUCGGAUUGUAAAGCACUUUAAGUUGGGAGGAAGGGCAGUAAAUUAAUACUUUGCUGUUUUGACGUUACCGACAGAAUAAGCACCGGCUAACUCUGUGCCAGCAGCCGCGGUAAU